GGAUUCCUACGGGAGGCAGCAGUGGGGGAUAUUGCACAAUGGGGGGAACCCUGAUGCAGCGACGCCGCGUGGGUGAAGGAGCGUCUCGGCGCGUAAAGCCCUAUCGGCAGGGAAGAAGGAGGACGGUACCUGACUAAGAAGCCCCGGCUAACUACGUGCCAGCAGCCGCGGUAAUACGUAGGGGGCAAGCGUUAUCCGGGUUUACUGGGGGUAAAGGGGGCGCAGACGGC
rnacentral:rRNA from 1 species